UUUCAUUUCAUAUCCAUAUAUCAUUUUUGUUUAUAUUAUUUCAUUUUUUCAAUUCUAAUUAAUUAUUCAAUGUAUAUAUUAUAAUUAUAAUUAUAGUAUAUAACAGAAUGUUACCUGUUGUUUCUUUAAAUAAUCGUUUGGUAAAACUUUCCAAAUGAAUUUUAUAAUAAUUAUGGAAUGUGAUUAAAAGAGAAACUAUCCGUGAAUAAAAAAUUAGGUAAUUAUCUCAUAUUCUAUUUUUUUAAUUUUUUUUUUCAAGUUUGGGUUUGUACGUGGAUUGUUAUAGGAUUUUUUUUGUUGGGAUUUAUUGUUGGGAUUAUAAAAUUAUGUAAAAAUGUAGAAAAGACUAUUUUGAAGUUUAAAAUAGAAAAAUUAAAUCAUAUAUAUAUAAUUAUCCCUAUAUUUAUGGAAUUUAAUAUUUUGUGUAUAUAUUGCAGGCUGUUAUUCAAAUUAUUGUUAUUUUUUUUAUUUUUUUUUUAAGAAACUGAAUAUUUUUAGUUAUGCUCAUAAAUAUCAUCAUGAAAUAAGGAAGCAGUUUUAAUUUGAAAAUUGUUAAUUAAAACUGUAAUGUAAUUUUUAAUUAAAACUGCCGGCUCAUCUCUUCUUCUCCUCUCUCUAUAGAUUUGCUCUCAGGUCUCAAUUCCAUCUCACUGUAAUGCAAUUUUUAAUAAUCUCACUUUCAUAUUUAUAAUGUUUAGAUUUAAUUAACUAACACUAAAACUCUCUUUCUUUAUCAUCGUCUUCUCCUCUUCUUUCUCAAUCAAGGUCAAUCCUGAAGCCUCCACUCCAAUUUACUCGCUCCGUGGCCUCGACAACUUCAAGUUCUUCUCAUUGUCUUUCUACUGGUACUGAAACAUAAGUUGUUUGUCCAAAAAACUACAAGGCAAUUAUCAGCCAAAAAAUGGAGAAUUCAGUUGUACGUAGAUGCAAACCGAACAAUGAGUUCAAAGUACAAUCAGUUCACCAUUCAAGCAGUUGAACCAAUGGAAGAUUAGGCAGAAGUUGCCAUUUUUCUUUUACAGUAAUUUUAUUUUAUUUAGUGUUAAGACUUUUCUUGGUGCCGAGCUUCUUUCACUUUCUAUUGACUUGUUAUCUACGGAUUUACAUGGAGUAUCGUAUGCAAGUAUUUCAUGUACCCAAUUUUCUAGAAGUAAAUAAUAAGUAUCGUUUUAUUUUGAUUUAUA